rnacentral:rRNA from 2 species
UUACAUUUGAGUGAGUGGCGAACUGGUGAGUAACACGUGGGAAACCUGCCCAGAAGCGGGGGAUAACACCUGGAAACAGAUGCUAAUACCGCAUAACAACUUGGACCGCAUGGUCCGAGUUUGAAAGAUGGCUUCGGCUAUCACUUUUGGAUGGUCCCGCGGCGUAUUAGCUAGAUGGUGGGGUAACGGCUCACCAUGGCAAUGAUACGUAGCCGACCUGAGAGGGUAAUCGGCCACAUUGGGACUGAGACACGGCCCAAACUCCUACGGGAGGCAGCAGUAGGGAAUCUUCCACAAUGGACGAAAGUCUGAUGGAGCAACGCCGCGUGAGUGAAGAAGGGUUUCGGCUCGUAAAACUCUGUUGUUAAAGAAGAACAUAUCUGAGAGUAACUGUUCAGGUAUUGACGGUAUUUAACCAGAAAGCCACGGCUAACUACGUGCCAGCAGCCGCGGUAAUACGUAGGUGGCAAGCGUUGUCCGGAUUUAUUGGGCGUAAAGCGAGCGCAGGCGGUUUUUUAAGUCUGAUGUGAAAGCCUUCGGCUCAACCGAAGAAGUGCAUCGGAAACUGGGAAACUUGAGUGCAGAAGAGGACAGUGGAACUCCAUGUGUAGCGGUGAAAUGCGUAGAUAUAUGGAAGAACACCAGUGGCGAAGGCGGCUGUCUGGUCUGUAACUGACGCUGAGGCUCGAAAGUAUGGGUAGCAAACAGGAUUAGAUACCCUGGUAGUCCAUACCGUAAACGAUGAAUGCUA